UAGGGAAUCUUCGGCAAUGGACGGAAGUCUGACCGAGCAACGCCGCGUGAGUGAAGAAGGUUUUCGGAUCGUAAAGCUCUGUUGUAAGAGAAGAACGAGUGUGAGAGUGGAGAGUUCACACUGUGACGGUAUCUUACCAGAAAGGGACGGCUAACUACGUGCCAGCAACCCGCGGUAAUACGUAGGUCCCGAGCGUUGUCCGGAUUUAUUGGGCGUAAAGCGAGCGCAGGCGGUUAGAUAAGUCUGAAGUUAAAGGCUGUGGCUUAACCAUAGUACGCUUUGGAAACUGGUUAACUUGAGUGUGCAAGAGGGGAGAGUGGAAUUCCAUGUGUAGCGGUGAAAUGCGUAGAUAUAUGGAGGAACACCGGUGGCGAAAGCGGCUCUCUGGCUUGUAACUGACGCUGAGGCUCGAAAGCGUGGGGAGCAAACAGGAUUAGAUACCCUGGUAGUCCACGCCGUAAACGAUGAGUGCUAGGUGUUAGACCCUUUCCGGGGUUUAGUGCCGCAGCUAACGCAUUAAGCACUCCGCCUGGGGAGUACGACCGCAAGGUUG
rnacentral:rRNA from 1 species